rnacentral:rRNA from 1 species
AUUCCAUACUCCUACUGGAGGCAUCAUUUAGGAAUAUUGGUCAAUGGGCGAUCUCCUUAACCAGCCCCUUCUCGUGAAGUAUUACUGCCCUACUUUUUUUAAACUUCUUUUUUCAGGGAGCAAUUUUUUCCACGCUUUUUCUUAGCGAGCUUCCCUGAAGAAACCUCCUCGGCUAACUCCUUUCCAGCAGCCUCUUUAAUACGGAUUAUUCUAGCGUUAUCCGGAGUUAUUGGGUUUAAAGGGUGCGUAGGCGGAAUAGCAAGUCAGAGGGAAAAAUUCGGGGGUAAACCCCGUCGUGCCGUUGAAACUGAUGUUCUUGAGUGGGCGAGAAGGAGGCGGAAUGAGGGGUGUAGCGGUGAAAUGAAUAGAUAGAAAGAAGAACUCCGAUUGAGAAGGCAGAGAAAAGGCGCCCUAAUGACGCUCAGGCACGAAAGCGUGGGUAUAGAAAAGGAUUAGAUACCCUCGUAGGU